CACGUAGUUAGCCGAGGCUUAUUCAGAGAGUACUGUCUUAGACGGGUUACCCCGCCGUAUCAUCCUCUCUAAAAGAGGUUUACACCCCAAAGGGCUUCGUCCCUCACGCGGCGUCGCUCCAUCAGGCUUUCGCCCAUUGUGGAAUAUUCCUCA
rnacentral:rRNA from 1 species